rnacentral:lncRNA from 1 species
AAAAGGACCAACCGUCCAAACACAUAUUGGAUAUCAGUGGGCACUUUGCUCAUUGGAAUCAUGAAGACAGCUCAAUUAGGCAAAAUGUAAAAUGCUCAAAGCUGCAUUCACAUUCAGCAUUUCCACCCCAUCUCAUUCUUUUAAGUCAAUGAAAGAGUUCCUUUUUUUUAUAAUAAUCAAAUAAGAGAGUGCAUCUUUAGUCACAUUUUUGCGUGGUCUAGAAGCAACCAAAUCACUUUGUAGCUAGCAAUAACGCUUCCUUUGCCAAAAUGUGUGUACCAAGCUUAC